UGACGGGGACCCGCACAAGCGGUGGAUGAUGUGGAUUAAUUCGAUGCAACGCGAAAAACCUUACCUACCCUUGACAUGUCCGGAAUCCUGCAGAGAUGCGGGAGUGCCCGAAAGGGAAUCGGAACACAGGUGCUGCAUGGCUGUCGUCAGCUCGUGUCGUGAGAUGUUGGGUUAAGUCCCGCAACGAGCGCAACCCUUAUCAUUAGUUGCUACGCAAGGGCACUCUAAUGAGACUGCCGGUGACAAACCGGAGGAAGGUGGGGAUGACGUCAAGUCCUCAUGGCCCUUAUGGGUAGGGCUUCACACGUCAUACAAUGGUCGGUACAGAGGGUUGCCAAGCCGCGAGGUGGAGCCAAUCCCAGAAAGCCGAUCGUAGUCCGGAUUGUUCUCUGCAACUCGAGAGCAUGAAGUCGGAAUCGCUAGUAAUCGCGGAUCAGCAUGUCGCGGUGAAUACGUUCCCGGGUCUUGUACACACCGCCCGUCACACCAUGGGAGUGGAAUCUGCCAGAAGUAGGUAGCCUAACCGCAAGGGGGGCGCUUACCACGGUGGGUUUCAUGACUGGGGUGAAGUCGUAACAAGGUAACC
rnacentral:rRNA from 1 species